ACGCUCGCUUUGGCAGCACAUAUACUAAAACUUGGAACGAUACAGAGAUUAGCAUGGCCCCUGUGCAAGGAUGACACGCAAAUUCGUGAAGCGUUCCAUAUUUUU
rnacentral:snRNA from 1 species